rnacentral:rRNA from 1 species
AACGAACGCUGGCGGCAUGCCUAACACAUGCAAGUCGAACGAGACCUUCGGGUCUAGUGGCGCACGGGUGCGUAACGCGUGGGAACCUGCCCUUAGGUUCGGAAUAACUCCCCGAAAGGGGUGCUAAUACCGGAUAAUGUCUUCGGACCAAAGAUUUAUCGCCUUUGGAUGGGCCCGCGUUGGAUUAGCUAGUUGGUAGGGUAAAAGCCUACCAAGGCGAAGAUCCAUAGCUGGUCUGAGAGGAUGAUCAGCCACACUGGGACUGAGACACGGCCCAGACUCCUACGGGAGGCAGCAGUGGGGAAUAUUGGACAAUGGGCGAAAGCCUGAUCCAGCAAUGCCGCGUGAGUGAUGAAGGCCUUAGGGUUGUAAAGCUCUCUUACCCGGGAUGAUAAUGACAGUACCGGGAGAAUAAGCUCCGGCUAACUCCGUG